UUACGGAUAAAAAAAUGGCAGAAGGAUGCUGUAGAUGUCGACGUCCUGCUUGUGGUCUUAAAGUUAGACUUGUGUACAGCUUUACUGGAUUUCUCAUAGGAUUUUCGGUUUUUGUUGUUUUCGGAUUAAAAUACAAAAAUUGGAAUGCUGCUUUGUGGGGUCUUAUAUCAGGUUUGGCUGCAUUAGGAACAUUUUUUCUCCAUUUAUGGUAUGUUAAGAAGAAAAGUCAGAACCGCAUGCCAAAUCUAAAGUUAUUGAUGUUGACUGGUUGUUUAAUACAGUUAGCUGGAGUAGUAGGAUUUGCUGUUUAUUUGGCACUGGCUGUUACACAAAGUCAAGGUCUAACUAUUCAGGGACAAGGAUAUUACUUAACAACAGUGUGGUGUUUCAUGACUUGGAAAUGGGGAUUUUCUUUUUUUUUCUUUUCAAGGAUGUAUCGAAGACAGACUUUAAAUUCUUAUGAAGAAAUCAAUGGGGUUUGAGUCUUACGCAUAUAUUGUACUAUCAGGAAUCGUUUGUUAAAGCUAUAGUCGGUUGUAACAGGGACAUUAUGUAUUGACAGUAUAAAAGUCCCAGGUUGUAAGAGCUAAAGUUGGUUGUUAGAGCCUCUUAAGCUCAUGUUUAUUGUUGUUUGUACAUAUGUGCCAAUUCUAAAUAAAAUUUAUUUAUUUUCUUA